rnacentral:rRNA from 1 species
UGCUAAUACCGGAUAACAACAGAUGAUGCCUAUCAACUGUUCAAAAGAAUGGUUCUGCUAUCACUCUUGGAUGGACCUGCGGUGCAUUAGCUAGUUGGUAGGGUAACGGCCUACCAAGGCGAUGAUGCAUAGCCGAGUUGAGAGACUGAUCGGCCACAUUGGGACUGAGACACGGCCCAAACUCCUACGGGAGGCAGCAGCG